rnacentral:lncRNA from 1 species
UGAUUCUGUAUUCAGUGUUUCGUGUUCCGUGUUCCAUGUUUAUUACGAAUCUGUGUGCUUUCCUCUGCUUUAUUAUUCCUGCAUUCCUACUUUACUCUGUUUUAUAUUCCCUAUGGGUGCCGUAUCUAUGUUAUGUCAUCUGCUGCUGUGCUGUACUAUGUGUUUGUGUGAUAUCUCGUGACUUGAGCCGGGGGUCUUUCGGAAACAGCCUUUCUACUUCAUCAGAGGUAGAGGUAUGGACUGUGUACAUCUUACCCCCCCCAGACCCCACUA